rnacentral:misc_RNA from 1 species
GUAUAUGUUUUAUAGGCACAACAUUCUAUCGACAUACAUUGGGGUAAAUGAAGCAACAUAGACCUGAAAGGUCUACAAAAAGUGCACAGGUGGAGAUAUAAAGAUGACAAGGCGUGCACAUGCUCCCUAGAGAGCCAGCAACAACCCAUCAGGUUUAUUUCAAUAAUGAUCCUUCCGCAGGUUCACCUACGGAAA